rnacentral:rRNA from 1 species
AUCAUUACACAAUAACCAGGCGGGCUGGACACCCCCCGCUGGGCACUGCUUCACGGCGUGCGCGGCGGGGCCGGCCCUGCUGAAUUAUUCACCCGUGUCUUUUGCGUACUUCUUGUUUCCUGGGUGGGCUCGCCCGCCCUCAGGACCAACCACAAACCUUUUGCAAUAGCAAUCAGCGUCAGUAACAACGUAAUUAAUUACAACUUUCAACAACGGAUCUCUUGGUUCUGGCAUCGAUGAAGAACGCAGCGAAAUGCGAUACGUAGUGUGAAUUGCAGAAUUCAGUGAAUCAUCGAAUCUUUGAACGCACAUUGCGCCCUUUGGUAUUCCAAAGGGCAUGCCUGUUCGAGCGUCAUUUGUACCCUCAAGCUUUGCUUGGUGUUGGGCGUCUUUUGUCUCCAGUUCGCUGGAGACUCGCCUUAAAGUCAUUGGCAGCCGGCCUACUGGUUUCGGAGCGCAGCACAAGUCGCGCUCUUCGCCAGCCAAGGUCAGCGUCCAGCAAGCCUUUUUCAACCUUGA